rnacentral:rRNA from 1 species
UAAGGAAUAUUGGACAAUGGAGGCAACUCUGAUCCAGCCAUGCCGCGUGAAGGAAUAAGGCCCUAUGGGUUGUAAACUUCUUUUAGACGGGACAAAACCCCUUUACGUGUAAAGGGUUGAUGGUACUGUCAGAAUAAGCAUCGGCUAACUUCGUGCCAGCAGCCGCGGUAAUACGAAGGAUGCAAGCGUUAUCCGGAAUUAUUGGGUUUAAAGGGUGCGUAGGCGGACUAAUAAUUCAGUGGUGAAAGCCUGCAGCUUAACUGCAGAAUUGCCAUUGAUACUGUUAGUCUUGAGUACAGUUGAGGUAGGCGGAAUGUGUCAUGUAGCGGUGAAAUGCUUAGAUAUGACACAGAACACCGAUUGCGAAGGCAGCUUGCUAAGCUGUAACUGACGCUGAGGCACGAAAGCGUGGGGAGCAAACA